rnacentral:rRNA from 1 species
CCUACGGGUGGCAGCAGUGAGGAAUAUUGGUCAAUGGACGAGAGUCUGAACCAGCCAAGUAGCGUGAAGGAUGACGGCCCUAUGGGUUGUAAACUGCUUUUAUAGGGGAAUAAAAUGUUCCACGUGUGGGAGUUUGUAUGUACCAUAUGAAUAAGGAUCGGCUAACUCCGUGCCAGCAGCCGCGGUAAUACGGAGGAACCGAGCGUUAUCCGGAUUUAGUGGGGUUAAAGGGAGCGUAGGUGGAUUGUUAAGUCAGUUGUGACAGUUUGCGGCUCAACCGUAAAAUUGCCGUUGAAACUGUCAGUCUUGCGUACAGUCGCGGUGGCCGGAAUUCGUGGUGUAGCGGUGACAUGCUUAGCUCUCAC